UAGUCUACGCCGUAAACGAUGGUUACUAGCUGUUUGGGCGAUUGAGUCUGAGUGGCUAAGCGAAAGUGAUAAGUAACCCACCUGGGGAGUACGUUCGCAAGAAUGAAACUCAAAGGAAUUGACGGGGGCCCGCACAAGCGGUGGAGCAUGUGGUUUAAUUCGAUGAUACGCGAGGAACCUUACCAGGGCUUAAAUGCAGUCUGACGUAUCUGGAAACAGAUAUUUCUUCGGACAGAUUGCAAGGUGCUGCAUGGUUGUCGUCAGCUCGUGCCGUGAGGUGUCAGGUUAAGUCCUAUAACGAGCGCAACCCCUGUGGUUAGUUGCCAGCGAGUAAUGUCGGGAACUCUAGCCAGACUGCCGGUGCAAACCGUGAGGAAGGUGGGGAUGACGUCAAAUCAUCACGGCCCUUACGUCCUGGGCUACACACGUGCUACAAUGGUAGGGACAGAGAGCAGCCACUGGGCGACCAGGAGCGAAUCUACAAACCCUAUCACAGUUCGG
rnacentral:rRNA from 1 species